AAACGGUAGCUAAUACCGCAUAACGUCGCAAGACCAAAGAGGGGGACCUUCGGGCCUCUUGCCAUCGGAUGUGCCCAGAUGGGAUUAGCUAGUAGGUGGGGUAACGGCUCACCUAGGCGACGAUCCCUAGCUGGUCUGAGAGGAUGACCAGCCACACUGGAACUGAGACACGGUCCAGACUCCUACGGGAGGCAGCAGUGGGGA
rnacentral:rRNA from 1 species